GACCCCAGACCGCGGAAGCAACCCCGGAAGAAAAACAAAUUUGUGUAUGUCAGGCGAGCAACAUUCAGUGGGGAAAAUGAAUACAAUAAAUGAAUGUAUUAACGUUAUGAUAAAAACGUCCUCACAAUACAUACAUUGAACAAUCUCCUACCCUUUCUCCUUAAUACAUCCGUGGGAAGAAUGGUCUCCAUCUUGUGAUUCAGUAUCCAGCUGUUUUAUAAUAUAUUGUUGGGACGUACAAGGGUUGAAUUUAGUUUAUUGUUAUUAUCGGUCCUAUUGGUGUUUUUGUCUGGUUGACACAAUGAAGAUAAACAAGAAGACUCUACUGGAGGGACACAAAGUUGUGUUGGUUCCUUACAAUGCAAACCACGUGGCCAGGCAUCAUGAACGGAUGAAGCGUCCUGAGCUGCAGCAUCUGACCGCCUCAGAGCCACUGACCCUGGAACAGGAGUACGACAUGCAGGGGAGCUGGAGGGAAGAUGAUGGCAGUAAGACUUCUUCUGCAGUAAAUGUACACACAGAACAUGCCCUUAUUCAUCCUCUAAAGCAGUUGUUAUAAAUCUAAAGGCUUGCCAGACUUAGCAUUUAGCCUUAGAUUUUUUUCAUGUGAGUAACUGGACACCUUUAUUUCUCUGAAAACUACCUAAAUAAAACAGAGAGAGAAAAGAAUCUUUGGUUGAACUAAGCAUACAGCAAUGGCUGGAAAGAUAAAUCUGAUAAAACGUCUUUUACUUUUGUUAACUUAUUCUAAGUUAGAGUAACAAGUUUUUAACAUUCAGAAUUUUUACAAUGCCUACAUAAAUCAGCUAACACAUUGCCUAAAUAACAGUAGCUUACUUAAGACAACUUAGGAUAGGAUAAAGUGAAAUAUGAUUCAGUGACAUUUGCUUUAUGAGGUCAACACUGCUUUCAAGUUCUGUCCUUAUGGCUUCCAAAUCAUUCUUUCCAUCCAUACUAUCAUCCAUCGCUCGGUUCUGAUUCCUUAGACAGAAACUACAUUUGACAACGUGUGAUAAGCUGCAUUGCUAGAUUUGCCAAAGCAGCUGAAAACUGUAAAUUCUUACAUUUAUCUCUGUACAGUAUUUAUUUGAAACCCCUCUUUGUUCAUACUAAAUAUUAGUGGUUUUAGGUUUUAUUAAAAAAAUGGUAGGAAUAAGCCACAGUUUUGCCUAAAAGCCUAAAACAUGUCUUGUAACUUUUCUUUUUCCUACUCCUUCUCCUGAGCACGCGGUAAGGCUGCCCUUUAGUGGUGGCACACAGCAUUACACCAAUCUUAACAAGUGACCCAUUAGUGCCUGCUAGUCAAAUGAAUGGCAAUUUAAUGGUACAAAUAGCAAUGUAUGUACAUCGUCACAAUUUUUGUGAGCAUGUGUAGGAUAGAUUUGUAUGUAAAAACGUUUUUGAGCGUGUAAAUAAAAUCUGUAAACAAAUUAUGUUACACAAAGACACUGAAAACAAGCGUGUUUGUGAACAUUUGUGUACAGACAAAGUACUGAGGUUUAGUGUGAAUCACACCCGAAUCUGAUUGGACAGUGACAGUCUAAUCACAGAGCAGAGUCAAAUUGACCAAUCAGGUGGUAGCUGGGCUCUUCAUUUGAGUAUCCGGUGGCGGUUCUGUAAGUUUGCUGGAGAUUCAAGAUUGAGGACAGCGGCAGUUGUUUUGCUACUCAGGUGGGAUACUUUAUCUAGCGUUAGCCGAAUGCUAACGUAGGACGUUAGCAAACCUCUGCUAGCAAGAGAAUUUUCAAGGCUCGAUAAAAACGCCGGCCAGUUUGGACCUCAAAUUGUUUGCACCUGUAUGUUUCUGCCCUGAUGAAGACCCGGUGAGGUCCAGACCGUUCGGCGUCUUUUUACUGAGAUGCCCUGUUGCAGGCCACGGCCCUUGUCCCUCCUACAUAUGGACCUCAAGUGAGACAAGUUCAGAGGGACCAUUUUCCAGGUGUGGACAGCGAGGGUCUACACAGGGAUAUGAGUGAAGAACCAAGAGACCUGAUAUCUUAAAUGUAACAAGCAGAACCAGACAGUUGGGUCAUAAUAGCUUUAUUGAACUUGAAGAAAAUUUC